ensembl:lncRNA
GGGCUGUCACCCUCCCCCAGAGCUCACUUAUGGGGCUGUCACCCUCCCCCAGAGGUCACCUAUGGGGCUGUCACCCCCCCCAAAUGUCACUUAUGGGGUUUGUCACCCCCCAAGUGGCAUCUAUGGGGAUGUCACCCCCCCAAGUGUCCCCUAUGGGGCUGUCACCCCCCUGAUGUCACCUCAGCCCCCUCAGACGUCACCUAUAGGGCUGUUACCCCCCCAGGUGUCCCCUAUGGGGCACUGUCACCCCCCAGGUGUCCCCUAUGGGGUUUGUCCCUCCCUCCCCCCCCCCCCCCGCCUGUCGCGACACGCCCCGCCCCUCCUGUCGCGACUCGGCCACCUGUCACCAGCGCCACCACCCCGCCGAGCCGCCCCGCUGAGCCCAUGGCGGCGGCCGGAAGUGAGCUGCGAGGCGCCGGAAGCGAGCAGCGAGCGGCAGCCGGAAGCGUGCGGAGAGCGGCGGCCGGAAGUGAGCUGGGAGCGGCGCUCUAUCCCCACCGCGCCUCUGUGGUCGGUCCCCCUCGGUCCGUCCCCACGUCACCCUGGUGACCCCAUGGGCCUCUUUGGGGUCCUCCACGUCCCCAAUGUCCCCAUUGGGGUCCUCUAUGUCCCAUUGGGGUCCUCCAUGUCCCACUGUGGUCUUUCACGUUCCACUGAGGUCCUCCAUGUCCACAUUGGGUCCCCAUGGUGUCUCCAUGUCCCAUUGGGGUCCCCAUGUCUCAUUGGGGUCCUCCACGUCCCAUUGGGGUCCCCAUGUCCCAUUGGGGUCCCCAUGUCCCAUUGGGGUCCCCAUGUCCCAUUGGGGUCCUCCACGUCCCAUUGGGGUCCCCAUGUCCCAUUGUGGUCUCUCACAUUCCAUUGAUGUCUCCAUGUCCCAUUGGGUCCCCAAUGGUGUCCCCACGUCACCAAUCACUCUUUAAUGAACACCUCCUACAAAACUCUCCCCA